CUUAGUCCCUAUCGUCACUCCUUAAAUACGAAACUGCAGGUGUAAAGACGUGUCGCAGAGCAAAAUACGUCACCGACUGUUUUAUAGUAGGGUUGUAUGCUGGGUCGGAAGGUUGCCAUGACAACCCUGACACUGUACUGUUUAGUUCGGAAGUACUGGGAUAACAGUAUUGUAUCGACAUUACAUUAGGCUAAUAUUGAAAUGAUAACGCCUAAAUGACACGACAUAGUGUUGGUCAUUACUUUUGGUAUCAGUUUGACGGGGAAAAAAAACCCAAAUUAAAACAAGCAUGCUGAUGAAGGAUCUGGCAACCGCGGGGAUGUGGGCGUGGCUUUGUUGCUCUGAGGUUUCAUCCCACCGCGCCUGUGAUUGUGUUCCACUCAAGCGGAAUUUGCCUCAGCAGGCUGUCUGAUUAUAUCUGAUUAUUGACAUGAUUAGACAUUCCUGCUUAAUUUGAUGCACUGUUAAUUUUUGAUAGUCGUUUGGACCUCCUUGGUCACUCCAGCCAGGUAAGACUUCUAUUACACUGAUGGUUUCUGUGCUGCUUUGCUGUGGAGGUUGUAUCAUAUUAAUAUUUAAUUCUGAUCAUAUAACAGAUUUGACUUGCAGGUGAGACAGGAAGGACAACAACUAGAGACGAGUGCUGUAUAUAUUUUCACCAGAUGCGUAUGUAGAUUUAAAAAAAAAAAAAAAAAAAAAAAAAAAAAAAAAGCAUGGGAGUUAAAGUGUGUGCAAGAACUCGAGAGGACCAGAGGCAGUGUUGCCAGGUGUGUUAGAAAUCUCUGGAUGACGUCAUGGAUUCAUUUGCAUCAUCAAGAUCAUUUGUAUGUCCAAACUUGUUACAUGAAGGGGGGGGGGGGGGGGGGACAAUAGAAAUUCUUGCAGAAUUUGUAAUGGUUAUAAUGGGAAUUGUAUUGGUUAUAAUGGAAACUGUAAUGGUCGCUGUGGGUCCCUACUGGUAAAUUGGGUUCUAUGUGGCAUGUUAUGUAUAGUGGCUACUAUCGAGGACUGGUAAUGGUUUGUAAUUGUAUUUGCAGUGGAAACCAUUAGAAUUUCCAAGAUGGUCUUCUGUUGUUUUGGGUUUGUUUUCAGCAGGGAAUAAAACAAGACUUUUGUCAGAAUAAAAAAUAUAUAAAAAUAUAUAUAUAAAUAUAUAAAGAAAUGUGUAUUUGGUCAUCUCACCACAGUAGUUAUUUGCAUAUUUAUCAAGGUUUAUCAAGGAGAUAAAAUGAAGCAAUGGGCAUGAGUAGUUGAGAAAUAGACACAAAGGACAUGGAUGGAAUGACUCGCUUAUAUUGCUUCUAGCAUGGACCUGGGAUCCCCCUGUUUCCUGGCCAGCAUCCUGUUACAAGCAUUUGUUCUCCCGAGCUGCCUCAGUGUUUCGGUUCGUUUCCCGAGCCAGCAGACCGUCUACGUGGUGACUGGGCAGAAUUUGGUCCUGCAGGCUGAGAUCGAGUUGUCCCAGGGGGAUCACGUCGCCAAGGUCACAUGGGAGCGUGAAGUCGAGGGAAAAAGGAAUUCUGGGAAAAGCGUGGUGGCUGAAUAUCCUGCUAAAAGCUCAGAAGGCCGGGUGAUCGUCGAGAAGGGCGGGUCUGUGAUGACGUUACGGGACUACCAGGGAACGGACAACGGCGUGUACACGGUCACCGUCCGAGACCAGAAAGGAGGUCAGAGUUCGGCACGCUGCACCGUCCACGAGUACGAGGCCGUGCACCAUGUGUCAGUGAUGGUGAACGUGUCGCACUCCAGCCUGCACUGCAUGGAAGCCUGGGGGACGGAGCCCGUCUUCCGUUGGCUCCACGAGAAAGUCGCGGUGACGGAGGCCGUGGGCCGCGUGUCAGCGGACGGCAGCUCUCUGUACCUGAACACGGCGCUGUGUGGCCACUUCACCUGCAUGGUGAGCAACAAGCUGGGCCACAGCUCGGCUACCUACACGGCAGAACCUUGUGAGAGAGAGAGCAGAGGAACCGCUGUAGCGGUUGUAUGUCUCGUGCUCUUGCUGCUCGUGGCUGGAGGUUUGACCUUCCUGCUCUGGAGGAAACGCACGAGUUACAGUAAUAGACGAGAGAGACUCCGGGAACCAGAUGAGGACAUUUAACCUCCACACUCAAGUCUGUGUGUCAGACUGAAACAUAAAUGGAAGAGACAAGAACUUAAGAUUGUUGCCUCUUCUCCAAGCACUUGGAUCAUUGCAAAACAUUCCAGAUAUGCUACCAGGGUUUUACUGGCUUUCAGUUACAGUCGGACAAGCCAAGGAGCGAAGAUCUCUCUUCCUUUUUUUUUUUUUUUUUUUUUUUUUAAAAAGGACCUUUACGAAGAAAAGAAAGCUGACGGUUUUGCAACUGUUUAAAUCUUCAGAAUAAGGAACAGCUUACUGUUAUUUCAUGUUUUUUUUUGUUUAGCUUGUUAUUAGUUGUGUUCGCAGUUCAUGUUAAGUUCUGUACAUGUACUGCAAUAAAAAAAGAGAAGACUUUUAAGGUAUUUCAAAGUCCAUGUUGUGUGACGAGUGAGUGAUGGAUGUGUUACGGCCCAGUCUAGGUUAGGCCGCACAGAGCAACCGGCUCGGGAUUCAAUGGAAUUUGACCUUUAAAUAAGGGAAGGCAGGAAUAACACAAAAUUAUAUACAUAUAACUGUACAAUGAACCAAAUCAGGCGUAACUUCAGGGUGGGCCAUGGCAAAUAAUGCUAUUGUUAGGUAGCUAGCUUACCGAAAAGGAAAAUAACAACGAAAAUACAAGGACUUCCCAAACUACCUAAGCCAAAAACAGAGACAAAGGACCCGCUCCCAAAAGAAAUGGCCACCACACCCCUACUGCCGGUGAACCAAGUGAACAUGUAUAUAAUGCUGAAUAGAAUGCACGAACAGGGACAGGGACGACCAAACUCGAAGUCCACAAACCAGGUAAAAGUCAAAAAACAGAAUUUGAUAGUCACAAGGGCGAGCAACACAAACCAAACAAUCUCCCAACAACAAAUCACACGUAACCACCUCCAACAUUCUCACUCCUCUUCCUCUUUAUACAUGGUCGUCAAUCAGUGAUGUCAUCCUGGGAGGCGGGAGCAAGGCACGCUAGGGAAGGCUGGAAACUCUGGGAGGGAGUUCAACCUGCAGACAAAAUAUGGCACAGCACACACACACACACAAAAAACAACUUCCCAUACCAAAGAUAGCGGGUUGUAACCAAUGGAUGUAGUGAUGAGGGAUGGAUUGAUGGUGUGAGGGAUGGAUGGAUGUAGUGAUGGAUGUGUGAGGAAUGGAUGGAUGUAGUGAUGGAGUGAUGGAGAAUGGAUGGAUGUAGUGAUGGAGUGAUGAGGGAUGGAUGGAUGUAGUGAUGGAGUGAUGAGGGAUGGAUGGAUGAAGUGAGGAAUGGAUGGAUUCUAAUUUUGUGCUGAGCAGAAAAGCAUCUGAGCGCACAUGUUAAACCUGAGGCAGAUGGGUUAGAACAGCAGAACCGCACCGGGUUCCACUUCCGUCAGCCAAGAACAGAACACCGAGGCUGCAGUGGGCACAGACUCACCAAAACCGGACAGCUGUAGACCGGAUAAACACAGAAGCAAAUUGUUAUUAUUUUGUCUUAUUUAGCGUCUGAAUGGCGGUACUAAACGAAAAAAACUAUUUACACC
ensembl:lncRNA